GCCAGUUACCAAAAAAGGAAAAGAAAAGCUUUCUACACUGUGAUUGCUUCUCUUUGUGAUACUGAGAACCUCCUAGACUUGUCUCUGCUGGGUCUUUCCUGACCCCAUGGCUUGAGCCUUCUGCUUCAAAUGCUAUGUCUGGUGCCAUGACAUGGUCAUGAGUCUUCUUCAUCUGGAAGAGCAAAGGGUCAGAUCAGCCUCUCACUGAAGGAUGGGUGCACUCAUGGUGGCUUGGUGGCUUCUGGGAAGACUAUUGAAAUGCAAAACUCAGAUCUCAUAUCAAAAUCGGAGGAUCUAUACCCCAACUACUGAGAUGGAAGAAAGACUUCAGUUGUCAGCUUCUUACUGCCUUAGCUGAAGGCCACGCCCCUUCCAAAGGCUGCCUGCCUCCAGUGAUUGAUCUCUAUGGGGAUUUAAUAGCAUGGACAGCUCUGAAGAGACAGCUCUCAAAACUCCCUAUAGGCAAAUUCCUGGAGAGAAGAGACUAAAAAAGGUUUCGAGGGAGACAGAGAUGUCUGCUGUGACCAGUUCUAUUCAACAUUAUUGUAGAUGUCCUAACCAGAACAUUAAGGUACAGAAAAGAGGAAAUAACAGAAGAGGAAAGGGAAAGAAGGGAGAGAAGAAAAAGCAUACGGAUUGGAAAAAAAAGAGGUAAAACUCUAUGAUGCAAGUGACAUGAUCAUCAAUGUAGACUAGCCUAAGGACUCUACAAAAAAAAAGCCGCUAGAACUAAGUGAGUAUAAGAUUCUGUGAUGCAAGGUCCAUAUGCAAAACCAACUGUAUUUCUUCUAUAUAAUAGGAAUCAACAACUGGAAAUUAAAAUACCAUCAAAAGAUGUAAAAAAAAUUCAAUGUGGAAAGAACAGUCUUGACAACAAAUAGUUGGAAACAAUUGGAUAUUUAUAUGUAAAACAAAAAAAGGAAAUGACACCUUAUUAUAGCCACAAAAAUAUCUUAUAAUAUUACUUUGUACACACAAAAUUAAUAUUAAUUUAAAAAUCAAUAUGAUCUAAUAGAUCAUAGACCUAAAUGUAAAACUUAAAAGUAUAAAACUCUGAAUAAACCAUAGGAAAAAACAAAACA
rnacentral:lncRNA from 13 species